UACGUAGGGUGCGAGCGUUUGUCCGGAAUUAUUGGGCGUAAAGAGCUCGUAGGCGGUUUGUCGCGUCUGCCGUGAAAGUCCGGGGCUCAACUCCGGAUCUGCGGUGGGUACGGGCAGACUAGAGUGAUGUAGGGGGAGACUGGAAUUCCUGGUGUAGCGGUGAAAUGCGCAGAUAUCAGGAGGAACACCGAUGGCGAAGGCAGGUCUCUGGGCAUUAACUGACGCUGAGGAGCGAAAGCAUGGGGAGCGAACAGG
rnacentral:rRNA from 1 species